rnacentral:rRNA from 1 species
CAGUCGCCGCGGGAAUACGUAGGGUGCGAGCGUUAAUCGGAAUUACUGGGCGUAAAGAGCUCGUAGGUGGUUUGUCGCGUUGUUCGUGAAAACUCACAACUCAAUUGUGGGCGUGCGGGCGAUACGGGCAGACUGGAGUACUGCAGGGGAGACUGGAAUUCCUGGUGUAGCGGUGGAAUGCGCAGAUAUCAGGAGGAACGCCGGUGGCGAAGGCGGGUCUCUGGGCAGUAACUGACGCUGAGGAGCGAAAGCGUGGGGAGCGAACAAGAUUAGAGACCCCCGUAGUCCCUGUCUCUUAUAC